GAUGAACGCUGGCGGCGUGCCUAAUACAUGCAAGUCGAGCGAACGGACGAGAAGCUUGCUUCUCUGAUGUUAGCGGCGGACGGGUGAGUAACACGUGGAUAACCUACCUAUAAGACUGGGAUAACUUCGGGAAACCGUAGCUAAUACCGGAUAAUAUUUUGAACCGCAUGGUUCAAAAGUGAAAGACGGUCUUGCUGUCACUUAUAGAUGGAUCCGCGCUGCAUUAGCUAGUUGGUAAGGUAACGGCUUACCAAGGCAACGAUGCAUAGCCGACCUGAGAGGGUGAUCGGCCACACUGGAACUGAGACACGGUCCAGACUCCUACGGGAGGCAGCAGUAGGGAAUCUUCCGCAAUGGGCGAAAGCCUGACGGAGCAACGCCGCGUGAGUGAUGAAGGUCUUCGGAUCGUAAAACUCUGUUAUUAGGGAAGAACAUAUGUGUAAGUAACUGUGCACAUCUUGACGGUACCUAAUCAGAAAGCCACGGCUAACUACGUGCCAGCAGCCGCGGUAAUACGUAGGUGGCAAGCGUUAUCCGGAAUUAUUGGGCGUAAAGCGCGCGUAGGCGGUUUUUUAAGUCUGAUGUGAAAGCCCACGGCUCAACCGUGGAGGGUCAUUGGAAACUGGAAAACUUGAGUGCAGAAGAGGAAAGUGGAAUUCCAUGUGUAGCGGUGAAAUGCGCAGAGAUAUGGAGGAACACCAGUGGCGAAGGCGACUUUCUGGUCUGUAACUGACGCUGAUGUGCGAAAGCGUGGGGAUCAAACAGGAUUAGAUACCCUGGUAGUCCACGCCGUAAACGAUGAGUGCUAAGUGUUAGGGGGUUUCCGCCCCUUAGUGCUGCAGCUAACGCAUUAAGCACUCCGCCUGGGGAGUACGACCGCAAGGUUGAAACUCAAAGGAAUUGACGGGGACCCGCACAAGCGGUGGAGCAUGUGGUUUAAUUCGAAGCAACGCGAAGAACCUUACCAAAUCUUGACAUCCUUUGACAACUCUAGAGAUAGAGCCUUCCCCUUCGGGGGACAAAGUGACAGGUGGUGCAUGGUUGUCGUCAGCUCGUGUCGUGAGAUGUUGGGUUAAGUCCCGCAACGAGCGCAACCCUUAAGCUUAGUUGCCAUCAUUAAGUUGGGCACUCUGAGUUGACUGCCGGUGACAAACCGGAGGAAGGUGGGGAUGACGUCAAAUCAUCAUGCCCCUUAUGAUUUGGGCUACACACGUGCUACAAUGGACAAUACAAAGGGCAGCGAAACCGCGAGGUCAAGCAAAUCCCAUAAAGUUGUUCUCAGUUCGGAUUGUAGUCUGCAACUCGACUACAUGAAGCUGGAAUCGCUAGUAAUCGUAGAUCAGCAUGCUACGGUGAAUACGUUCCCGGGUCU
rnacentral:rRNA from 1 species